rnacentral:sRNA from 1 species
GGCUUCUUUAACGCCACAUUAAGCUUUCCCGACUAUUACUCAUUUCUGUCCAUCUUCAUGGACUUGAGUGGCUCCUGUCCACUCUGUUUGACGCCUCCCUGUUAUCUUACUGAGCCGCCAGUAUUGGCGGCUCUUUUUUU